UUGACCUCGGAUCAGGUAGGGAUACCCGCUGAACUUAAGCAUAUCAAUAAGCGGAGGAAAAGAAACCAACCGGGAUUGCCUCAGUAACGGCGAGUGAAGCGGCAAGAGCUCAAAUUUGAAAGCUGGCUCCUUCGGGGUCCGCAUUGUAAUUUGCAGAGGAUGCUUCGGGUGCGGCCCCUGUCUAAGUGCCCUGGAACGGGCUGUCAGAG
rnacentral:rRNA from 1 species